CACGUAGGGGGCAGGCGUUGUCCGGAUUUAUUGGGCGUAAAGAGCUCGUAGGGGGCUCGGUAAGUCGGGUGUUAAACCCCCAGGCUCAACCUGGGGACGCCACUCGAUACUGCUGUGGCUAGAGUCCGGUAGGGGAGCGUGGAAUUCCUGGUGUAGCGGUGAAAUGCGCAGAUAUCAGGAGGAACACCGGUGGCGAAGGCGGUUCUCUGGGCCUUACCUGACGCUGAGGCGCGAAAGCGUGGGGAGCAAACAGG
rnacentral:rRNA from 1 species